GAUACUUAUAUAGGAAGAUAUUUUGACAUGACUUUUGGAAGUUUGUCCAUUUCAUUAAGUUAAGAGACAGCUGGGUAGACUUAAGAAGUUUGUUCAAAAGAUCAUAUCAUCAUGAUGGCCUUUUUUAUUCCAAUGAUUUCGACCUUGGGAUUGUUGAUAAGUAUGGUCCAAGGACAGAUUCCUGAAUAUUACGAUGGUAACAGUAUUCUUGCCCCUGGAGGUUUAUUACCAUCCGACGGUAUUUCCUGGGUUGAAACGACUGUGUUUGGUGCAGUGGUACUGUGUUUGUUGUUCUGUGGCAACAACGACAACAACAGCGGAACUAGCGGAGAUAACCCCGCCCCAGAGAGCUAAACGUCAACUUCCUUGUGACAUAAAACAAAGAAAAGAAAAGAAGGCGAUGUGUUUUGUCAUCUCAAUAAAGCAGUUAUAAUAAUUCAUCAAUGGUCAUAUUUGUAUUCAAUAAAUUAUUAUGCACAUACAUUAACCAUGCAUCGUUAUUC